GUCAAUCUGCACACAAGACAAUUUUCCACUAAAAAUUCCCCACACGUCUCAUACCUCCUGCAGCAAAUAUCAGACCACCAUACGUGGCCACGCCCAAACCAUCUCUUGGAAUGUUGAGAGAAUGUAAAUCUAAAAGUUCUGGCAGCAAUUGAGUCGUCUUCACUUUAUUGAUAGUCUGCAAACACACAGGAUCUGACGCAAUCAGCUGGUUUUUCUCGAUGCAGUCAACUGAAAACAUUAAUCAACAGUAAAUAAGUCUGGAGUUGAAUUAAAUGGAUACUGUUAUGGAAUUAAUACUGCAGUAAUUCUAACCAACAUAAAGCUAAUAAAUCUUAGCGCUAAAAUCAUAAAAUACGGCAAAGCCUCAACGAAUUUAACAAGCAAAAGACUUGUUAUUUAUUUUCAAAACUAUUUCAACUUUCAGCAACAUUCUUCUCAAGAGGUAAAAUUGUGAAAAAUUAUAUUUAUGUUUCGUGGAUAUUCCCCAUUUAGCAAGAAAGUUCCCCAGGAUUUCAUAAUAUUAAGAAAAA